AAGGAUAAGCGCUGAAAGCAUCUAAGCGCGAAGCCUACUCCAAGAUGAGUAUUCCCUAAGGGUCGUUCAAGAUUAGGACGUUGAUAGGUCAUAGGUGGAAGUACAGUGAUGUAUGGAGCCGAGUGAUACUAAUUACCCAUGAGCUUCCUUUUUUCUUUUUUAU
rnacentral:rRNA from 1 species